CAGAGUUGCAAGACUCCCUAAACCAUUGUGAACCUACCUACUAACCGUUGCUUCGGCGGGCGGGCCAGCGGCCCCUCACGGGCAGGAGCGCCCUCGGACAGCCCGCCGGAGGAUACUCCAAACUCUUGUACAUUAGUGCCUCUCUGAGUAUUCGUACUGAAUAAGUCA
rnacentral:misc_RNA from 1 species